rnacentral:rRNA from 1 species
GACGAACGCUGGCGGCGUGCUUAACACAUGCAAGUCGAACGGAAAGGCCCUGCUUGCAGGGUACUCGAGUGGCGAACGGGUGAGUAACACGUGGGUGAUCUGCCCUGCACUUCGGGAUAAGCCUGGGAAACUGGGUCUAAUACCGGAUAGGACCAUCGUCUAGUGUCGGUGGUGGAAAGUUUUUCGGUGCAGGAUGAGCUCGCGGCCUAUCAGCUUGUUGGUGGGGUAAUGGCCUACCAAGGCGUCGACGGGUAGCCGGCCUGAGAGGGUGGACGGCCACAUUGGGACUGAGACACGGCCCAGACUCCUACGGGAGGCAGCAGUGGGGGAUAUUGCACAAGGGGCGCAAGCCUGAUGCAGCGACGCCGCGUGGGGGAUGAAGGCCUUCGGGUUGUAAACUCCUUUCAACCAUGACGAAGCAUUAUGUGACGGUAGUGGUAGAAGAAGCACCGGCUAACUACGUGCCAGCAGCCGCCGUAA